rnacentral:snRNA from 1 species
GUACAAGCUACAGCGGUACAUAUUCUAAAAUUGGAACGAUACAGAGAAGAUUAGCAUGGCCCCUGCACAAGGAUAGCAUGCAAAUUCAUGAAGCGUUCCAUAUUUUU